rnacentral:lncRNA from 1 species
GCUUAUCGAGGUUUUUAUUUUCUUUACCUCAAUGGUACUAACGACAUAAUCUGAUAAGAUCGCGAUUACAGCAGUCAUCCCAAGCAGCCAGACAAUUGCACUAGUAAAUCCAAUAACAGGUGCCGAUGAUACGAUAUCAUCAUCCUCAUCAGAUUCAUCCUGUUCAAAAGAAAAGAAAUUAACCACAUUUACCAUAGUUCUUAUUAGCAUAUUUUACAUCUAUAAUAUUACAAAAACCAAAAAAUUAUUGAUAUAUCUUGUUAGAGAAUGUAGCUUUUCAUGAAAAUUAUACUAUUGAGCAGCUACUGCAAAUCAUCCUUGUACGCACAUAUUUCUACUUGUCAUUGUUGUUCGUCUAAAAGAUAGAACCAAGUUGGCCGAACAAAGUGCAUGAAAAGGAGAAGACAAGUUAUGAAUAACCAUCUUUACCUCUCGUGCUUCAAAGAACUGGUGAUGGGUUUUCAGCUGGAAGAAGAGGCAUCCAGCAUAGGCCAGGAGCAUCACAAUGCUGCACGGUCUUGAGAGCUUGAGUACUGUGAUCGAUGAUCCUUUAUACUCACUAGUGUUCGUGAUAAACCGAAAAAUUAAAGCCAUGACAUGGCACAACGCACCCAAUAGAAGCAGGCUUAAGCAUACAUCUGAUUGCCUCUAUAAAAAGAGUGAUGGGAAAAGUAAAUGAGUAAGGAAAUUUUACAGGAUGAGGAACUCAUAGAUAAGAGAAUCACUUGUUCAUAGAGUAACACAUUCAAAGAACCCAGUCUUUACUUACUCGAUCAAAUGGCCGUUCAUUGCCAAGGUUGGCAAAUCCGCCAAAGACAAGUGAGGAGCCAAGGACUAGCAGAAGGUUGGAGAGAAUGGAGCCGAGGAGAGACCAUUUUAGGACUUCUAGCUUACCAUUGUGCAGUGCUAGUAGCGCUAUUAUCAGCUCAGGGGCAUUACCGCAUGUCGCAUUCAGUAGGCCACCAACUGCAGCACAUUAGGUUGGAUUACUAAGAUUAAUUACUGAUCUAAUCUUUCAAAGCUUGACACAAAUUCCAGCUAUGUGCUCUGAGUUCAAUUCUAAUAAUUCCGCGCCUACAUUUUGGCACACGUAACGACUAAAUCCUGAUAAGUUACCAUCUAGAAAAGAUUCCACAUCAGCAUAGCCAGAGUUUGCUAACCUUGUCAUUUCGAGGUUUCAAAGUUAAAAACAAUACUGGCAUGGGCUUUUUUGGACAGGCAAACAAGGAACUACUAAAUUGUUGCGCAACAAACUUUUAUGUACUAAAUUAUUUAAAUUGCAACUCCUAUAAUGUAAUUGAAACUAGAACCACAUUUCUAAUCAACACUUAAAUAAAAAUAAUUGGAUGAACGUUCACUGCUACAUCAUCAAGUUAAUUAACUCUUCAAAGAACUUAGGAAAGCAAUAUAGUACAAUUAUCAGGUUAUCAGCAGCUGACAAUAUAAUUUUUGGGAUUUACAUGAGUCCUAUUUAUAUGGGUGACAUCCUGGUUCAGUUAAUGAGUUAUCAUCACCCAUAGUUUGCAUCCAUGGGAGCACAUAGUUAGUUAACUUGCACUAUGAUGUUAAAUAAUCAAGGGAAUCUACUGAAGACUAAUAGAAAAUGCUUAUGGACAUGUAAUAAGAAGUAGCACAUACCAGUUGGACCAGCAUACUCUGCAAUCUGCCUGCAUCAUAAAAUUAAAACGCCAAUUACCAUGACCGAUUACUUCAAACUAAAGAUUAGAAAGGAUAUGCCCAGGAAUUUGAUUGUAUGAGGUUCAGGGACUAACUCGCUGAGAAAGCUCACGCGUUCGGCAAGAGGGGCAAGGCCUAUUAAGCUCAAGGCAAACACCCAAGCCUGUUCGCUCGAUUAAAAAUAAAAAUGAGUAUGAGAUCAUUAAAAUAAGAAUAAUAAGCAAAAGCAUUUUAAUAAUAGAUCACAGUACCAAUUUUAGUUUGCAAUUUUUCUAGAUCUACAUCAACCAACAACGACACCAAAAAAAGGAGAAAAAAGACAAAUCAAUCAACAAUGUUGAAGUAAUCAGCAUGGUUUUACUUCACAGUAGAAAGUAAGUAUUCAUCUCUACAGAAUGUAACAAAUGAAAUGGCGCCCCAUGACGGUAUCCAGACCGAGUUUACCUACACCAAAAUGGAACCUAUUUUCUUUUAUUUGUACUACAAAAUCUGAAAAGAAGAAGGAGAAUUUUUAAUGAAUGGAGAUACCGUUGCCUAUGGAAUGGUCUUCCUUUUCGAAGACCGUGCAUGCCAAGCAUGUUUUGAUUUAAAAUAUGACUUUGAAAACAGUUAAAAUAACAGGAAGGGGUUUUCCAAGUGGCCCCAGUUGUUUAUCGCAAUGACUUCAAACCAGCUAACUAAAUAGCAAGUGCCUCUAGGUUUCCGUGCAUUGACUUAUUCAUUAGCGAUUUAGCACUCAAAAAAAAAUAGAAAAGAAAUCAAAACAGCGACAUUGAACAUAUCUUGUAGUUUUUGUCACACAAAUCAUGCCCAUUGUGUAUAACUAAUAUCCGAUGGCUCUCUUAGGGUCGAACAAAUAAAAAAAAACCAUCAAAAAGCAAUCAAUUACUUAGAGCACGUCUCAACAACCCUGUAGGUUUUAAAACAAAAUAUGACAAUUUCAAUUGAUGGAUGUGUGCACUUCAAAGAUGAAGUACUAGGCUGCAGACUUACCAUUAUAAAACAGGACGCUACUGUCAAAACAGUCAUUAAACAGGACACUAUAUAUAAUAUAUAAUCUUCACACUUAUGGGAAAAGGAGUCCCAUUAAAAUUGGGUUAUAUAAAUAGUUAAUCUAGAAAACUAUGCCUUUGGCACAUGGUGAUAUGUAUCCCUGAAAUUCUAGCAAAGUGUAAAAAUAAUGAACUGUGCCUGUACAUGCUGGCUAAUUUACCGCUGAAUCUUUUUUUUUGCUAAUUUGUGCAAAAAGCAUUACCACACAGAAAAGUGACAAACUCAAAGACGGACACCCUCUACAUACGGACAGGGAAUGCAUAAAGAUUUAAUUAAGAGAUCCUUCUUCUGCAUAGCAUGAUAUCGUACCUGGUAGUUCAAGAUUUGGUGUUUUACUGGAGUGCAAAAAAAGCAUGCCUUUGAAACCAACUACGUAGUUACUGGAAAGGGAAAAAAAAAUAAGCGGAUGUUUAAAUUGACAGGUUUGAAGUUCGGAGAGUACAGUGGAAGACCUAAUACUCAAUAGUACUCUAUGAAGCUUAAUCGUUAGUCGGUAGUAACCAAGCGAUGAUUACCUAUUUAUCUUGUCAUACAUGUAGGAGACUAUCUAUCACUCCAUAUAGCAUAUUACAAAAGCCCUUGGAACUAUUUCAGGGUCAGUACAUAGAAUAUAAAUAGGAAUAACAUCUUGUGAAUUCUUCAAGCAUGGUAAUCCAAGAACUCAUCUUCUGUGUAUUGCAAACAACUUGGUGACGAAACAUUGCUAGGCCUCACUUGCAGGGCAUAAAACAAAGUCAAACUUGCUCCUUUACUGCUCAACUAACAUAUAUAAAAGAUUAUCCCCAGCUACUGAGUGACCUUAAUUUAAGCUUUUUUGUCGGCACCUUAGAAGCAGCUGUGCAUUCAAAUCUUUGAGUGUGUAUAAAGAAACCUAAAUUACUGUUUCUAGCUUGGGAAAACCAGCAACAAGCCAACAAGACGACAUGUGUCAUACCCUUGCUAUUUCCCUAAUCUAGCUAGAAUCUGCUAAACAAUCGAGGGGAAAAAGAAGAAAAGAAAAACAUGACAACUCUCUCUUUCUGCCCAAAGAGGAGAAGGGUUACUGUUUUUGUUGCUUGAACAGCAAAUUUCACAAGGCAAUAUAUUGGGUAAAUUGCACCAUUAAACCCGAACUUACGUAACUCAAAGUGAAGUUAAUGCCCCUAAACUAGGUAAGCAUUUUUUCAUACCAAGCAUGCACCAAAGGCCCAAACUAGACCUUGUUGUUGAACAGAAUAGGCGUUUCUGCUUUCUACAACAAAGUUUAAUUUAACAUCAAAUACUCCUCUGGAAAAAGAUACCUUUAGAUCCAAAAAUGCUAACCUGGGAUCAACAUCAUUCUGUCACCGAACCUAACUUCAGAUGACGGAAUGGGCCAAUUUGAUACAUUUAUAACAGUUCAAGAGCUUUAAAUUCACUUGAAAAAAUUAGGAAUCAAAUUGCAACUCUCGAAAAUGUCCGGAGUCUAACAAUUCCUUAUCCCCCAAUAUGUUUUUGUAUAGCCAUAUCUACCCCGCUCUUCAGGUCAAUACAUAUAAAAAAUAAGUAAAUAAUACAGACAAAGAAAGAAUCAGCUAAAAAUCAAAAGAAAAGAAAGAUAAGUUACUUCUCUUGUGAAACAAUUUUCCUGGCAGCAUAUUACUUAUUUUGGCAGAUACUAUUAAGGGCCUACCGCAGGCGAAUUUGGCCGUGCUGUAGGGUGCAAUAUUGUCCAUAUAUAAGCCCAGUUGCCCGUGCUAUGGAACAUAGCGACAAGUAAUGCUAUCCGAAGAAGUACUGUAGAUAAUACUUUCAGCGGCAUCUACCAGAGCAGACUUAACAACAUCAAAUCAGAAGGGUUCUGUUGAUCUGUUCCACAGGAGGAAUUCUACAUUAUCACACUUACACCGCGUCAUCAAUAACAAGCCAAUCACAUUCCUUCUUUUCAAAUAAAAGUACAAUAAAAAUAAUUUUUUACAAUCAUGAUGGGACAUAUACUCCUGAAAGCAUAUCCUUAUUAUUAGGUUAAUUUGGUGUCACCAUGGAUAAAAGAUCCGCUAUCAUAUUUUGGAAAAUUAAAAAAUUAGGUAAGAAUUUGCAUAAUACUAUUGACAUUUUUGAAUCAAUUACUUGAACUUUCAAAAUUUUAGUUCCGUCGACGACAUCUAACUCUAAAACUUACUGAUCACUUAUUUUAAUAACUUUAUAGUUACAAAAAAUACAUUAAAUAUACUAACUAAAUCUAUUCGAAGGCGAACAAUCUAAGUCAAACAAAUUAAAAUACUUUUAGACAGCGAAAACAAAAUUUUGGAAAAGUGGGUAGCGAAAUCAAAAUGGUACAUAGUUUUAUCAAAAAAAAAAUUAUAAAUGCUUUUAAAUUUUUCGGAUCUUUUCCAAAAGACAAAAAAAAGGAAAAAAAAAAGAAAAAAAAGAGAAGAAAACGGAGAAAGAAGGGAGAGAAAAAACCACAAAUACCACAAAUAAUGGGUUCCCUUCAAAAUCCUCCCAACAAUGAAGGUUUACCAGGUAGAAUCNNNNNNNNNNNNNNNNNNNNNNNNNNNNNNNNNNNNNNNNNNNNNNNNNNNNNNNNNNNNNNNNNNNNNNNNNNNNNNNNNNNNNNNNNNNNNNNNNNNNCUAUUUCGGGGGUUCGAAAACACUUCUAGGCGGCCUCUUCCGCAAUAUUUCGUGCUUCCUACUUAAUUCAUUGACUAAUCUAGUAUAGUUUCAGGCCCCCAGAAUAACUUUCGAGUGUUCAAAUUUGAAGAAGUCUUGAUCGCACAAUUCUGACUAGAGGGCUCACACACAACCUUUUGAAUUUUGGAUGCCCAGAACAAUUUCAUGAGCGCACAAAAUAAUUAAUACACUAACAGCCUAUAAUCAUUUCGAGCUUCAAAUUUAAACCUUAGACUUACGGGCGUCCAAAACUGCUUUUGGAUGCUCUGGAGGCAAUCUGAACGAUUACAACGUAGAUCCCAGGCCUUAACUCAUUUUCGGACCUUCCAAAUGUCUUUCCAGACACCUGGACUUGCGUUCGAAACACUAUGUUGUGCUGAAAUUUAAUUUUAAAGGGUUUGAUCGUAGCGUACGGAACUUGUAUAGUGAGCAGAUAUGAAUGGGAUAUAGUAUGUGAUACUACUUAGAAGGAUUUUCGUAAGUAAAAGAUAAGUUACUGCUCAUGGAAAGAAGUAUAGAUUAUGAGAAAGAUAGAUUUAAUAGACCAGCAUUGGAUUAUGGUCAAAUUAGUGCAUUAUCAAAAGAUGGUUGUGAUUAGAGUGUUCAUUUGAUACAUCCUGAAAUUUGAAGUUGUAGGAGUGAACUGGUGAGGUUUUGGGUAGUGAUGAAUGAUACGUGUGGUUGUAAGGUUUGGUAGUGUUGAAAAUCGUGGGAGAGAUUGUUUUGCGAUUUUGCAUAGUACAUGCACUAUUUACAAAGAAAAACGGUGAGAUCGACACAUUUCGAAUUUUUUUCACAAAAAAACGUGAUAUUUUAUUUGCCAAAUUGUGUGAAAAUUCACGGAGAGGUUCUACUGUGCAAAAUACAUGCACUAGGGAGCUCUUAACAAGAAAUUUUGAGUGUGGGGGACUAAAAUGCAACAUUACAAUCACUUUCAUAAUCGUUUUGUCAUUCUUAUCCUUCAAAGUCAGAGUAGAGCCUUAUAUCCUUUCUCCAUCAGUUAUCCGAUACUCAGUAUGCUGCUCUUUAAUUCUAGUACAUAAUAUAUAUUGGAGAUGAAUUCUUUUUCACCACUAUUCGAUUUAACCAUAAUUUUUUCUCUUUCUUUAAUAGGUACUUUGAAUGAAUCACCAAAUUUCACAUUGCUAUCAACAUUCUCAUCCAUUUCAACAAAUAAUUUUUUCCUUCCACACAUAUGAUUUGAAGCACCGGAAUUCAGAAACCAUACAUAUUGUGGAUCCUUAACUUCGUCCUGACAUGCAAGCAAUAGUCAAGUUUCUACAACUUCAUCUUCUAAAGUAUUGUCGAUUAGUGAUUCACUCCUUCAAUGUUCUUAUGCCAGCAAUCUUUGCUGUAGUGACCAUAUUUUUUACAAUUAUAACAUUGUAUGUUCGAUCUUGCACCACUAUAAGACCCUGGGCAAUUGUUAUUACGUCCGCCUCUUUUUGGUCUAUAUCCAUGUUGUGAAUUGCGAGCAUUGUUGUUGUUAUUCUGUCGACCAUUAAUUGUUAUAUCUUUUCUGGUUCUUAUAUUUAUUAUAUUUAUUUUCUCCGCUAUUUUGCUUUUUCUAUUAUCAAUUUUUAAUUUUGACUUGAGAGCCUGCUCAGUCGGCUCGUCUUCAGGCACCUUUCGUAGUCUUUGCUUAUGUACUUGGAAGGAUCAUGUCAAUUGGUUGAUAGAAAGAGUACUGAUAUCUUUUGACUUUUUUAUAGCGACAACAAUAUACUUAAACUUUAAUGUGAGGGAACGAAGAACCUUUUCCACAACUCGUUUAUCAUCGAGUUCUUCUCCAUUUCGCUUCAUUUGGUUUGCAAUUAUCAAAAUGCGAGAAACAUAGUCCGUGAUACUUUCGGACUCCUUCAUUUGGAUUGCUUCAAAUUCCUCUCGAAGCCUUUAUAGACGAAUCCACUUCACUUUGUCAUCUUCUUUAAAGACGGUGACAAAAAUAUCCCAAGCUGCUUUGCUUAAAGUUGCUUCAGCAAUUUUCUCAAACGUCGACUCGUCUACUGCUUUGUAAAGAUAGAAAAAGGCCUUUUUGUCCUUCUUUCUUGCUUUCUUCAAAUCGUUUUGAUGGGUUACAAUUAAUGCAGCUUCUUCUUGCUCUGUGUAUUUUUGGUACCUAUUUUUAACUAAUUUCCGAAGGUCUUGAGAACCAAGAAAUGCUUUCAUUUGAAUGCACAAAUUCUCGUAAUUGUCUUUUACUAAUUUUGGGAUUUGGCUUUGGAAAUAUUGGUGGGAAAUUAAAUAAAGAAAUUACAAAAAUAUUUAAAACUAGAACAACCAACUUUAUUAAAUAUAACUAAACUUUAGUACACAAGAACUUAUUAAUACAACUUGAUCCACUCUACAUCAACAUAACAAGUAAUAUACAUUCUAUUUAUAGAGCAUGAAACAAUGCAACAUAUCACGAAAACAAGCAUUCUUUCAUUAAAGGACACAACCUACACAAGAAAACGCAACUUUAGACAAAGAAACACAACCAUAUGAAGGGAUAAAACCUUUCAUAAGGUACAUAAUCUUUUAUAAUAAACUAAUAAAUUAACAAACUUAUAAUCUAGUAGUUUCGACUAGCAUUAUUGCCAGUGACCUUAGUGUUGUGCAGCAUGGCCCUCCUAAGUGCCUCUACAUCCUUGUGCUCCCCUUUGUUGCGGUCGGAUUGGUCCCUGAUCGUUCCCAAGGACUUCGUGGCUUGAAGAAAAGAUUGCUCCACCUUUUUCGUCAACAGUCGUUGGUGCUCCGAACUACGAGCAUGAUGUUCGAAACAUCGUUACCUAUCUACCAAUGCAGUUGGUUGGUUUCCAAGUUGUAGAAGCAUCGAUAACGAGCCAAAACUUUAAUUUUGAUAACUAUAAAGGUAUUUAUAUGAGUGGUGGAUCUUUUGUAUAAUUGUACGACAAUGACUAUUUAAGACAAUAUUAAUUACGUGUGUUGAACUCCUGGACUGAUCGUCCAAAGUUGAAAAUUUAAUUUGGAGUGGAAUGGGGCUUUUCAGUGCUUUUGUCAUCGAGAUUGUAGUUAUAAUGCAAUUUCGGUUUGAAAUGCACAUAAAUAUUACUGUGACUGCCUUUGAUGAGCAUACUUGCCUAGUCGAUCCUCGCUCUCUUGUGCGUUUGAUGGCAGCAUGAGGAUUGCGGUGGGUACCGACACCGAUAAAGGCAUUUCUAGAGCCCGAAUUGGCAAAGAUUCAGUUUUCAAUUUACACUAUACAUGCGGUUGCACUAGCACUUAAAUUGGUGUGUUUUAGGAUAGAAUGUGUUCUAAGGAGACUUAUGGCAUGUCUCGGGACGCUCCAAGGAGCUAGUUGGAGGUCUCGGAGGGUUAGGUGAUGGUUUGUGUGAGGUUCAAAAAAGGGUUAAAGAAACUGAUAUUGUGAUCGCACCAAUUCAUAUUAUUGGCGACUCAAUAUUGUAGGGUGUUGUCGGUUUGAGGUUGGAAGGUGGUUCGACUCUUAUAGAGUCGGCUCAGAGAUUGGUCAGAAAGUCGAAUGAGAAAAUCGAUAUUUUGAGUAUGUUGUGGUGCACUUUGAUGCGAUAUAAGUGUGUCAGCAUGGUAUAAGGACACAAGAAUUUUUACUGACACUUAGUGUCACUACAACAGAAUUAGGUUAUAGGAACACAUGUUUGGGACACUUUUGAGUAAGUGUUCCAUUUAUGCUAAAACUUAAAAAAACAUCUACUAAUGCCUAAAUAUAAAGUCUAAUCCAACCAAAAAUAAAAGAUUACUCUACUCAACCCACCACAUCCAGUCCAUUUGGCCCGAUUACAAACAGAAAAGAAAAAAAAAAAAUUCAAUUACCAUCUUUUCUUCUCUCUUCACUCAAUCCACUAAAAUUCUAGACGAAGAGCCUUUCCUGUCGUCCUCCUCCGCCACCGCAGCCAACGAGAUAGAAUUUCGGCGGUUGCUAAAUACUUAAAUAAGUGUUGGUAAAUUAGCAGCACUCUUUUAGAUUAUAGCGACACUCUUUAACUGUCACUAUAUACCUAUCGACCCCAUAUAUAGCAACACUUUUUAAAAGUGUCGGUAAUUUUAGCUAGCAGCACUUUUUUGACAUGUACCUACAUUUAAAAGUGUCGCUAUAGACCAUUUUUGUUGUAGUGUGUGCAUGUCUAGUUUCACAUAGUGCCUAAAUGCUUUAGUGGAAUCCAAGACUAAAGUAUUCAGUUUAUAGGUAGGUGUUUCGAUCCGAAGUUGGUAAACUAGUGCCAACUCAGUUACCUUUUAUCUUUUAUUCUCUCUAUGGUUUAUGUUGAAUAUAUCCUUUAUUCUCUCUAUAGUUUAUUCUCUCUAUUCUCAACCCUAGGGACCAGUAUUAUCCUAAACACACAUCCCUUCAUCUAAGAGCUGAAAACCUAAUAGCACCAAUGAUUUUGUGCUAUUAGAAGCAUACCAGCCGAAUUGUGUGUGUGUAGUGUAAAGCUACCAUGCUGUCGAAAACAAAGAGAGAUGGUGCUGUUGAAGAUAAGACCAAACUAUUUGUUAGAAAAUUAGUUACUUAGAAUAAUUCUUCAUUUGUUUAGUUUGAUAAACAUGUGUUAGUUGGGUUGUUAAUCAAUUUGCUCAUUUGUUAGCAUUGUUUAUUUAUAUAUUGGUAACCAUCUAGGCCAUUAAUGCACCAAAAAGAAUCCACCAGUUAAAAAAUAUAUUUAGCUAAAUAGUUACAACACCUAGAAAAAUUUAAAGAAAGAAAGUAGAUAAGAGUGUUUAUGGUUCUAUGAAAAUGUAGGGAAUAAAUUAGGAUUAAGGGCCACAUAUUGCUCUUUAGCCAAAUAAAGGUUGGGUCGAAACCAUAAAGGAUUAUGCUACUACGUUUUUCGGCAAAACAAUAAAACUCAUAUCUUAAUCAAACAAAUAAGAUCUGUGCACAACGUGAUAUCAAAUACAAAAUUAGAAAGAAUAUUUAUCUAUGGGUAAAUUACGUACAUUACUACUUCACAUUUCAUUUUGCUCCUUAAAAUAUCAAUGUUAGCAUUAGAAAUCCUUAAUUAUUAAAAAGUUUUAUUUUAGUCUUAUUUUAGUCUUUGUAAACAUUUACUAUAUAUUGAGUAUAUAGAGUAGAGAUCUUCGUGCUCCUAGGCCAUUUUCGAUGAUGAAACUUUCAAAUUGAUGAUCGACUUCAUUAGACUUGAUCUAUCAUAUUUGAAAUAUUUACAAAAUAAAUUUUUUAAUUUUUUAAUAUUAUUUAUCUAGUGAUCAAAGUGAUUUAAUCUAAUACAUGGUGCUCAGCAAGUGACUUAUAGAAGUGGUAGCCGGCACUAUUCGAGCAUCAUUUUCUAUUGAGAAAUUCCGCAAAUUUGAACAAUAAAGAAAAAGAUGGGGGAAAAUACAUUCCUAUUUGGAUGAAUUCUAAAAAUCUACAAUAUUUAUAUAAAAAAAUACUAAAGUACAAUAGCUGUUUAAAUAAAAAAAUAAAAAAAUAAAUUUGAACAUAACAACUUAAAAUUUUAAAGUAUGUAUACAAUAUAAUGGUUGUUUCGUAUAAUUUACCUGGCACAACUGGUUGGGUGCUGCUGCUGUUGCAGGCAUGCAAGCUGACGGGCGAGGGGGCGACGAUGGUGACGGGGCUGAGCGCGGCGCGGCGAUCCGGCACGCGUUCCGGCUGUUCGUGGCAGUGUCGGGGGGGCUCGAACAUCUCGGGCGGGCACGUGAACCCCGCGGUGACGUUCGGGUUGUUCGUGGUGGCGGCAACGCUGCGCGGCGCGCGUGCUGUACUGGAUCGCGAAACAGCUGCUGGUGGGUCGACGGUGGCCUGCUUGCUGCUCCACUUCUCGACUGGAGGGCUUGCCACCGACACCUUCGGGUUGUCGGGCGUGCAUGGGCUCGUGGGAGGCGCUGGUGCUGGAGAUCAUCAUGAUCGAUGACAUUCGGCACCGUCUACGCGACGGCCGUCGACCCCAAGAAGGGCAGCCUCGGGACUGUCGGCCGGCCCCAUCGCCAUCGGCUGCGAGGUCCGCGCCAACAUCCUCGUCAGCGGCGCCUUCACCGGCACCUUUGUGAAUCUGCCGUCGGGUCUGUAAACUUACUAUUUUAUUUUUUAAAAUAUAUUUUUUUUACUGCUAUCAAUUUUUUUUUAUUUAUUCUUUAAGUUAAAGAGAAAAAAGAAUUUAUUUUAAUUUUUUAACUCUAGUAAAUAUUUAAAUUUAUAUCUAAUCUGAAAUAAUUUAACGAGUAUUAAUAAUAAAAUUAUUUGUAAAUAAUAAAAAAAUAUUUUAAACAAAAAAUAAAGGUAUAUAAAACAUUUUUAGAAGUUCUGAAAAAAUAUAAGUAUCCUUCAUUGAAACUCUCAUCAUAGCAUGGGAGGAGGUAAACGAAAGUAUAUUAUAUUUAUAUAUAUUAUAGUUAUAGUUAAAAAUUAAGCAGCAUGGGCCGUUGGCCUCGUCUGCCAGGUGUGAUCAGCACCUAGACAAAGCAGCCAGCUCCGCGACUUGCGGCCAGAAAAUGCAGCACCCUCCCCAACCAAUCGUCUUUCGCCACGUACCGCCCAACAUCACAUGACGGGCGCCUUUUCCUGCGCUAGUCUGCCACUCCCUGCACCAGCUGUCCCUCCGCACAUAAGUGUCCUAAAUCAUACGCGGGCCCACCGCACAUGCCGCCACCUGCUCGCUCGCCCGAUGCGUCCACACGCAGCCUUUCAGCCUUACCCUCUGACGGGUGCCUCGAAACGCACAAACACUAACCCUACAUACGUUCUGAUUUGAGAAUGUAAGUUUUGUUAAAAUUUAUAGAGCGUUCGGCUGUGUCUAAUAAAAAAAUAAUUUUGUUUGAUUUGAUUUUUGAGCUAUUCUUAAACCGAACCAAAUUGUGGAACUGAACUAGUUCAUUCUUGAAACCCAACCAAAUUAUUUCGGUUUCUUUUACAGUUAUUUCUUUUUUAUAUUUUAUUUUUUUAUGAGUUAAUGCUUAAUAAUGUAGCACCCAAAAAAAUUGAUCAUAAAUAAUAGGAUUUAAAGAAAAAUAUGUUUAUAUGUGAUCAAGAUUUGAUCAUAGUUAUAAAAAUUUUAAUAAAUAAUUUACAUAAUAAUAAGUGUAUAUAAUAUUAGUCUUCGGUUUUCGAUCGGUACGGUUCGGUUCGGUCGAAAAAUAUAUUAAAAUCAAAUCAAAAUCAAAAAUCAAAUUUUAACUAUAUUCAAGACCGAGCCAAACCAAAUACCGGUCAUAUAAACCCAAACCAAAUUAUUUUGUUUAGUAUGGCUCGAUUUGGUUUUCCAUUUGACUCCAAAUCGUAAACACUCAGAAUCACACCAUGACUGGCACUAAGCAAAACCUUUUAUUUAUUUAUAUAUCAUUAUUUUGCACUGUUGGGUCCAGCUAGGCUCUUUUUUUAUUUUCCUUUUCUUUUUUUUUUUGGUCAUUGUUAGUUAAUUAAUGUACAAUAUACUUGAGCUAGCCAAGUGAUAAUUAAUUAUAAUAUUUUAAAAGAAAAUUGAAACAAAAAAGAGUUGCUUCUAGGUUACUAUAUUUUGUCGGCAAAAUACUCAACUUACAUAUAAAGAUUGCAAAUAAUUAAUCAUUUUUUUUACUAUUUCGUAUAGAAGUUCUAUUUUAUAUAAAACAGAAAAAUGAUAACAAUAUCAAUUGUCUAACAAGGACUUACUAAUUGGGUAUGUUGGUGAAUAAACCUCUCUACUCUUAUUAUAAUUGGCUAGCAUGCAAUGCAACAUAGUGGGAUACGAAAAUACAUUCUUUUUAAGAAAAUGAAGAAGUGAAAAAUGUCAAUUUUUAUUUUUUGCCACCAAAUAAAUCAGGUACAUGUAUGAACUGCAUGCACUUAAUUUGAUCGUUUACUCGCACGCCCCAUUGUAUAAACUUUGUGUUUUUAAAGAAAUAGAGAAACGACAAUAAAAUAUAAAGAGGUGAGACUAAUAAAUAUGCGAUACGCUGAAAAGUUUAAAACCUCUUCUAUGCUGAAGAAUGAAAAUGAGAUACUGAAUAUUAAAAGUGAAAAUUCUAAUUGCGUGCUUUUUAAUUCUGUCAUAUUAAAAAAUGCUUGAAAUAUAAUAUAGUUUUUAAAUUUCAAAUAAUAUGUUGCAAAAACACUUUAUAAAUCCAUAGAGCGUGAAAAUGAGAUGCUCACAUAAGAGAAUGAGAUAGGAUAAAUUUACAAUCCAAAAAGGGUUGUAGGAAUUACAACUCGUAUCGAAGGGUGAAAUAUUCGCUCCUUCUAGGGUUUAAGAAGCUUUUUGCAAAGGGUUUGGUGGUUGGUAUCCGAGACCCAAGUUUGAAUCAUAGUUGAUUCACAUUUCCAGCUAAGUUUAUUUUUAAAUGAAAUAAAUGAAGCGGGUAGCGUGCGACCUAUCUCUCUCUCAAAAAAAAAAAAAGAAUAUUAAAAAAUAAAACUAUAUAGGACUACUAGUGCAGAAAAAUUAACCCUAAAUUAUAGAGUUGUAAGAUUACAAGUCUUUAAAUUGUACAACUAGCAGUCCCAACUGGCACUUUAGCAUUAAACAAUGAUAAAUCCACCAAAGCAAUAGAAAACAAUAGGAAAAGGGGGGAGUUGCCACUCUAAGGCCCAACAAAUGAAGAAGUCCCUUCUCCCUUAAUAAUUUUUCUUCCUCUUUUUGUUCUCUCCCUCAAAGAGAUAUCUCUCUCUCUCUACAGCAGCAAAAAGAUAUGAGUUUAGAGGGAGAAGAGAAGGAGGAAGAGACAUCAUGUGGGUCUCCCAAAAGUGUGGCCAAACAAUGGAACAACAAAUUGUUGCCAAUGAAUCUUUUGGAUGAGUACUGGUUCUUUCACAACACCUUGCAUGGUAGUAGAAGAGUAGUAGUCCCACAAACACCUCUUCCUUCGCCCAACAAGUCUAAGGAAAUGAGCCUUAUGAGCUCAAUUCAGCACACUAAGGCGGAAAAAUCGUCGGCAGGCGAUUCUUUCGCCGAUCGAGCGCUUCUGCGAGCACCGUCGCCACCGCAACUCCACGCAGGGCGGAAGGAGACCGCCGCUGAGGAAGAAAACGACGAAGAAGUCGAUGUACCUCGGACCUCAACUUCAUCUUCUACACCAAACAAUAAUAAGAAGCCACCCCUCCUUCGAGCCCCUUCGAUGCCGUCGCCGCAGAAUUCUUUCAACUACUUUGAUAGUAGUAGUAGUAGUAGUCCUAAGGUAAAGUAACAACAGCAACUCACAUGGACAUUGUCAAUGCUACAUCUUUUUACUUAACUUUUACUAAGUAAAAUAAUAUGAUUUUCUCUCAGAAAAAUUUGAUGCGAAAUGCGAGCAUGGGGAGGAACCAAGUGCCCCGGCACACGAGAAAAUGCUGCUGCUGCUGCACCAGCUUGCAUUACAAUUACACGAGAGCAUUUCAAGAGAAGAAGUGGCGGAGCUCGAGCGAUCUCGAGUCGAUCGAGGUGCAGGGGUUCAAAGAUCUGGGGUUCGUGUUCGACGAAGUAGGGCCGAACGAUGAGAGGCUCGCGAGCGUGAUCCCCGGCCUUCGCGAGAAGAAGGCUCACGUCGACGACGACGGUGGCAGUAGCAAUGUCAAGAGGCCGUAUUUGUCGGAGGCGUGGAAUGCGCAGAGACCGGCCCCGCCGACGCUCAAAUGGGUGGCGGCCGAUAAGCGAUCGGCGGCCGACAUGAAGGAGCAGCUGAAGUUUUGGGCCAGGGCGGUGGCUUGCAAUGUCCGGCAGGAAUGCUGAUUAACAAAUUUACUUAUUAUUCCAAAUUUCUUGUUCAAUUCUAAUUGGUUUAUAUUUUUUAAUUAAGUUUAUUUUUUUAAAAAAAUAAAUGAAACGGAUAGCAUGUUAUCUUUCUCUCUAAAAAAAAUUAUUUAUUACUUUUGCAAUAUAUAUUAAUCUUUUAAAUAAACUUUAAUUUUUACUUUUUAUUAUUUUUAUUUAAAAUAAAUAGUAAAGUAAUAUAUUUUGUGGAACGUAAGAACUGUAUAAUAUAGUCAUCAUGUCGCAUCUAAAAAGCUAUCAUUGUACGUAUUAUCCUAUUCAACAGUAAAUUUUUAAUGUAAAGUUAACUAUAAUUUGCUUAAAGUAAAAUUCGGCAACUUAAAGCUUGCUUCCCCUUUUUCUUUUCUUUUUUUUACUCUUCUUUUUUAUUGAAGAUGUAACGUAAUGCAUUAUUUUGCAUUGUUCAUAUGGUUUUUUAUUUGUAUAACUAAUUCAAAUCACCACAAUCGGAAACUCUAAAAAUUUCUAAUUCAUGCAACCCUGGCUUGGUGGUGAGGAAAACAAAUUUAAAGUCAAACACAUGACAGGUGGUCAAAAGAUCAAUAAAUGAUUUGCAUUUUUAUUUAAUUUUAGAUCACAGACGAUGUGGAUUACUUAGUAUUGUAGUCACAUGCAGAGAACAGUACAUAUAUAUAUAUAUAGCAGGAAAAUAUCCAGUCCUUUUAUUUGAACAAUGCUAAUUGAACAUCAAAGAAUUUUAUGCGAAUAUCACACUCUUUUUUUUAAAGGUAUUUUUCAUAUUAAUAUUUUCAAUAUUUUUUAAAAAUUAGAAAUCUAAAAAGACUAUCUAAUAUUGAAUGGGAAGAUAUAAUAUUUAGACUAGGGUUACUCUACUCAUAUUAAUUAGUACAGGCCCAUUUAUAUUCAUAAGUUUUCGGCCGUUUGGUUGGUUGAAUAUAUAAUAUAAUCUAACGGGAGGAAAUAAUCAGUGAGUUAAAUUUAACGGUCGAAAAAUUAUAAGUAUAAUUAAUUAAAGGGGCCUAUACUCAUAAGAAAAUAAUAGCCGGACUCUAAUAUUUAUACCUAGUUUUAAGGGUAUUAGUAGCAUUUUUUUCUUUUUCUUUCUGUAACACUUCUGUUGUGUCUCUUAGGUGUAGCAUGUUAAUCACAAAAAGAAGAUAAAUUUUAAUUAGCCUAGCUCCACAUGACUUAGCACAUUUUCACUUUAAUUAGCUCGAGGUUUACAAAAAUUUGCUUUACUAAUUUAUGAUUUUGUCUUUACUUCAUUAUUGGGACCUACAACUACGACAAAUAAUAAAGUAAAAGAUUUUAUUAAAAAAAAAGUGGCAUGGCUAAACAUAACUUAUAGAACCAUAUAAUUUAAUUAUAGUUUUGCCGUCAUAUGAUUUAUAAAAUUUAUAAAUUUACCAUCCUAUGGCCUGUAAAGUAUAAUAUUAAAGGAAAAGUGAUAAGCUCAAAAUAAAUUAAAUAUUUUAUCAAAUUUUAUUGAUUAUUUCAUCAAAUUUAAAAAUUAUAUUUUUUUUUUCAAUAAAUAAAGAAACAACGACUAACUAGUAUAAAUGACGAAACGUUGAAUUCAAUAACUUUUAACAAAAAUAAUUAGAAUAACUCAAUUUAAAAAAAUAAAAAUUAAAAAAAAUUAUCAGUAGGAAUCACUACAAAAGAGAAGUAAAAGGAUUCUCAAAAAAAAAGGCGUGUAGUUGAGAAUGUCUUCGUAUAAAUCUUUAUCAAGUCAAAUAUAGUAUAACAUUCAUUGAUUAUCUACUGUUUAUAUUUUUCAUUUCUUAUUUAAUACUAUAAAAAAUUUUGUACAUAUGACACUUUAAACGAUAAUUAGCAAUGCUUUAAAUCGUCGGCAAGAAUAAUCCCAACGCUUAUAAAACCGUCGAGCAUAGAAUCGUUAUGUAAACAUGUCGUAUAAAUAUACUGACGCUUUAAUAUAGCGUGAGGGCGGUUUUGCCAAUAUUUAAUAAAAAUAUGUUUAUUGGGGACGCUUAAUCAUGAUAUCGGCACAUGGUAAAUAUUGAAGACCCUAAAAUAAAACGUCGUCUAAAAAACAUCGUCUAAAACAUAUUUUGUUGUAGUGUAAGAGAUUAUAAGGUGGUUAGGCUCUUUGUUAAACUUCCAGUUACUAAAUACAUUGGCACAAUAUUAUUGCACUAUAAACACACAACUCCAGCACAUUCUACCAUCAAUUUGAAUUUAAUUUUUUACAAACUCGAAAAUUUCUCAAUGUUAAUGUUAAGUUUUAUGGCUUUUAAAGGUUUUAGAGCCUAAGAGGAGGGCAUUUUGACUCACGAAUUAUUAUAUCUUUUGUAAUUCAAGUACAGAGGUAUUUAAGUUUUUCUGAAGUAUAGUUUUUUUUCGUUGUUUAAUUAUUUUAGUGUAAUUCAUACGUUUUGAAAAUUAUAUCCAAUCACUUUUUUUUAUUUAUUUUGGCGUAACUAGGUGCUGGUGUAACUAGUUUUUGCCAAUUUGUAUAUCUUUUUAUUUUCUUGAUUAGCAAAAAUUAGCAGACCCUCUUCAAUUUCUUUUUGAAUCCACCUUUUGAAGAUAGUAGAUUUAUUGAUUUUGUGGCUUCAAGAGUUACUAGCAAAGAUACCCACACAUUGCGGUAGAUUGAUUCUAUAAAAUAUAAUAACAAAUAAAAAUGAUGUAGUAAUCAGUUUCUAGACAUAUAGCAAUAGAAACGAGUAAGGAAAAAACGAUCUCAAUAUUUUUACACAAAUAGAAAGUAGCAAGUAAAUGUCGUAAAAAAUAUAGGUCUACUAAAUUAACAAUUAAAUCUUAAUUGAUGAAAAAAAAAGCAAAUAAGAGUCAUCUGUCAGCAAUUUAAUCUUUUAAAUUGACUUCGAACCAAAAUCUCUGUUUAAUCAUCUUCGUCCAAUUCCUAACCAAGUUGUAUCUAGCAAGAGAUUACAUGGCACCGCAAAGAGACUACACUAACCAUAGUAAGGUAAGGUGUCUAUCAAAUUACUCUCUUCAUAUAACAGAAGCCCUAUAUUGUUGAUUUUGAUAUAAAAAAUUACUGUUGGAUCGUAGCCUCUCACCAUAAAAAUGGCUGCAUAUGCAGCAACACCAACUAUGAGAAAUCCAUCAAUCUACAUGUGAUGUGUGAACAACGAAAAGUUGUGUAUCAUAGUCAGUAGAAUUGGGUGGCUCCAAGAUUUCUUAUGGGAAUAGGCAUCUCAAGUUAUCUAGUCUUAUGGUUCUUUAUUAUCUAUAUAUGAUCUUUUUUUUCUUAGGUGCUCAAUUUCUCCAGGCUUUCAAUUUAAUGUUUUUAUUCAAUGGUCAUGGUUAUUGGUAGGGAUGUCAAUGGGUAUGGAUACCUGAAAUUUUAUCCGAACCUGAACCCGAAUGAAAUGGAUAUAUCCGAUACUAAAUGGAUAUGGAUUUGGAUAUGGAUAGCAAAAAUAAAAACCCGACGGAUAUGGAUUCGGAUAUGGAUUUUAACUGUACUCGACCCGAACCCGAACCCGACCCAAACCCGAAUUUAUUUUGUAUUAUAUAUAUCUAUAUAUAUAUAUAUAUAAAUUUGAUGUUAUAUUUAAAUUUGUAUUUUAAAAAUUAAGAUUUAAUAUGAUAUAUUUUGAAAUAUUGAAAAAAGAAAUAAUUAUUUCGGAUUCAAAUUUUCGGGUUUGGGUUCGGGUUUGGGUUUCGGAUUUUUGGUCGGGUUUGAAUAUGGAUUUUUAAAAUACGUCGGGUUCAGAUUCGGGUUCGGGUCCCGAAUUUGGAGUUGGGUUCUUAUUCGAAUUUUUAAAAAUUCGUCCGGAAUUUGACCGGUUGACAUCUCUAAUUAUUGGCAAUAACUCACCGAAUCCAUCGUUCCGACUCAUAACAAAUUAAAAGUCACUCCUGCUACUCAGCCUAGAGCAUUGAGUAUUGUACAAGGGUACGCAGUAGGAGUAACCUAGCUAUUACCUUAUGGGUGGAAUUGCUGAGUUAGUUGAGGCCCAUCACACUUUGGUCUUCAAACUUUAACUUUUACAAAUUUUAGCUUGAACUUUUUAAAUUAUCUAUACGUACUGUCGUACUCUAUAUUAAAGGAGAGUUCAAUCACAUCAUGUACUACUAGUGUAGGUAUCCGUGCGAUGUAGUGGAUAUAAUUAUAUUUGAUUAAAUUUAAUAAUAUAAAAAUAGUUUAAAAUUUUUAGAAUAGAAUUAUAAUUCAAUGAAAAACAACGAAAGAUAAAAAAAACUAUAGAAGAAAUAAAUUUGUUACAUAGAAAUCGAAUCCCUUUGCACCCUCAUUUAGGGUAUUCUCUAUUAACACCGAUGAUUUCGUGAAAUAUUACCGUGCCUUCAACUCCUUUUCGGCAAGUCCAUAUCUUAGCCGAUACUUCUCGCCCUCCGAGGCCAUUAGAGGAGCGGGAUACACACCUCUUUGCAUAACUAUACAUUACAAAUUUAAGCGGUCAAGAUCGAGGGAAGAGGGUUGGGAGAUAGGGUUAGAGUUUGACUCACCCGACGUUGAUGGCAAGGGCGAGGGCGGCGCACCUGCGGGGCUUGAAGUUGGAGCAGAUGUAGUAGGAGAGGUUAUUAUCGAGAACACCGUAUGCCGUGCCCAUAGGCUCCUCGGGCAACUCCUCUUAGAAAAUAGAAACUAAUAAGGUGGGAAGUCGAAGUAGCGAUGUUACAGAUAAUAAAUUAAUGAGACGAAAAGCCGAAGAGACAUACAUUACGGAGAAGGAAUUAUGAGACGGAAAGCUAAAGAGCAGACGUUAUAGGAAAGGAAUUAAUGAGACGGAAAGCCGAAGAGGCAGACAUUACGAAAAAUGCGAGCGGUCGCAAUGAUUGGAGAGUAAAAAUUUUGAGGAGAUAAUAUGAUGCUGCCACGUGACAAAAGCUUAUGAGAAAUAAUGUAUGUGUAUAAUAAAUUCUACACGUGUCCUCUCCACUCUUCCACAUUCACAUCAAAAAAAAUUGCAUGCACCUUAUCUAUAAUAAAAUAGCAUGAACCAUUUUUUUUUUGUUACUUUGAAAUCAAAGUAUAAUUUAACAAAUAUAAUUUACACUAUAUAAAAAGAAAAAUCAGUCUAUGUACAAAAUAUUAUAGAGUUUAAAUUUUAAAAAUAGUGAUUUAACAAUACGGUGUUUAAGAUGUAAUAUACACCAGGAGCAUUGAAUGAUUCUCCUCCAAUCCAUUCCUCAUCUAUAAACAAAUAGCCUACAUCCACUUUAUAAAUAUUUCAUAUACCAAACCUAAUAUUAAGUAAUUAAUAUUAUAAAAUUAAAAUAUAAUUUCAUAAUUGCCAUAUAUACUAUACAAGAAGUCUCCAUAUAAAAAAUUAUCAGAAUUUAAAUUUUUAUAUUAUUUUUUAAAACAUAAAGUGCAGAAAAUUUAGUCAUGUACCCGGUGCACCAAAUAGUAUCAUUUCCUUUAAUGUAGGUAAAAAUAUAUAGAUACCCUCCAACUACAAAUUUUUUAUGUAAGACUCACUCAAGUUCUAAUUUCUUCUUUAUUUUAAUUUUUAUAUUUAGUUAAAUUAAAAUGACAAAAGAUAAUUAAAAUUAUUAAAUUUGAUAAACCUACUAAUGAAUUUCAUAAAUUUAUAAAAUUUUUGAUAAAAUUACUGUAGUCAAAAAAUUAAAAGUUUAGAAAGUUUCUAUACAUUUUCACCAUAAUUUUUUUUUUCUUACUUUGAAAUCAAAAUAUCUAUAUAUAUAUAUAUAUAUAAAACCUAUAUGAAUUCCCAAUAUUUGUUGUCACGUGACAAAUUCUACUUCACUCUUACUAGCAUGUAACGCUUUUUCUUCUCUUCACCAAAUUUUCAAUAUACAUUUUAACGGUCCCAGUAAUCAAACCAUCAAUUAGUGUAUUUAAUGGUCCACUACCAUUUACAAUUGUAUUGUUUCUGUCUACAAUAAUUCAUUAUGACCAUUUUCUUUCACUCCACUAUAUUUUCAAUUAGUGCAAACGGUUCCACUACCAAACUUUCAUUUAGUAUAUUUAAAUGGUUCCAUUACCAUCUACAAUCCUAACCUCUCUUCUCUAAUUAUUAAUUAUGACCAUUUUUUCUUUCCUCCAUCGGACUUUCAAUUCUACUAGUGUAGAGACCCGCACGAUGCAGCGGGUAGAAAUUGUCAUAGUAAAAAUUUAUAAAUUACCUAAACAAACAAAAAUAGAAUUAUCAUAAUAGAAAUUUGCUACUAAAUAAACAAACAAAUAUGUAAAAAAGAAACCGUAGGAUAUAACCACAUCUAAUUGGUUAAAAAUGUAAACCAAUACAUUAAAAUUUUUUAGUAUUGGAUCUGGUGGAGAACAAAGAAAGAAAACAAAAAGAAAGGACUACAGGGAAAAAAAAAUUGAUGCACAGAUAGCUUAAAAAAAUAUUUGAAAUCAAGUAAAAGAAGCAAAAGAGGGAAGAAAAAGUAAAAACAUAAAAAAAGAUUGAAUAAUAGACAAAUAAAAAAUUAAAUAAUGAGGAAAGAGACAACACGUGGUAAAAGCCACUGAAAAAUCAGCGUUAUAAAUUUCACACAAAUCUCAGAAAUAAUAAUAAAUUUCUAAACUUAAAAAAUCUUUAUUGAAAGGACUCGGUCAUGUGAAUAUUGAUACUUAUGUGAAAAUUUUAAUAAAAGUUUAAUAAAUAAAAUGAACAUUAGAAUAAGACACUUUAUUUAGAAUACAUACACAUGAUUGAUUCAAAAUAAAGAAAAAUGAGAAUAUAAAAAAAUUUUAAUAGAUUUGCCGAGGAUGCUAAGAACUAUUUUGACAGUUGUAUAAAAAUAUGGGGCAUUUAAUUUUGCAUCAUUUUGGCGAAUGCUAGAAUAUGCAGUUGAAAUGUGACCCUCAAGCUCCCUCGAAACUGAAGGAACAAUUUUUCAUGCAGCCGAAACAUAUGUACGUCGUGUGUCCAUGAUGAACAAUAAUAAGAAUCAUAACCAACUAUGGAGCUAAUUAAGGAGCAAAUAAAGUAUUAAAAGAUGUCAGAAUUACAUUAAAAAAGACAUAAGUCUAGUUUUAUUUUAUCAGAUUCUAUGAUCUUUGUAUUUUGAUGCCUAAAUAGACUGGGUCGAUCAUUUCCAAAUUCAAUUCUUUUCUAUAUUGAAAAAAGGCAAGUAUAUUUGCUAUAAUGGAAAGUAUCCAACCAAAUGAAGAAAUCACAUGCACCAACAUCAAAUGGACUUCGAAAUUUUUUUUAAUAAACUUGCUUUUAGUAGAAAUAACAUGCGCUUUGUGGGAAGGUAUUUAACAUUGAAUGCAUUACCAUCAAACAGAAAUAGGAAGUUGGAUUUUAGUAGUGUAGAAUAAUUCAUUCAUUUUUCAUUCUUGUAAAGCAUUGUUCAUUUGAUGUAGAAUAAAAAUAAUACAGUGAAAGGUUACAUGAGGUAGAAAAUAAAAAUGGAAUAGAAAGGACUAUUAAAUGCGAGUAAAAAGUAAGGAAAAAAAAAGAUAACAUCUUCUAGACAUAAAUAAUUAUAACCUAGAACAAAACCUUUAGGCGAUCGUGUAGAACAAAAUAUAUUUAAGUCAAACUAAAUAUAACUACAAUACUGUAUUAUGCAGAUCUAAUUUUUAUAUUUGUUUCAUUGUUCUUCAUUUAAAUCAACUUUAUUAAUCUUCUUUUUCUAAAUAAUAGACACAUCGUUAUCUAUUCACUGCAGAACACUAUCAAAUACAUCAAGAAUUAUUCUUUUCUAUAUAUUUGAAUCCAAAAGCUAAAAAUUAAUUCCACUAUGAUAAAACAACAUACAUGCAGAGAGAGAAAGAGAAUGAUACAUGCGAAAAGAGUUCCUCGAAGAUUCAAGGUGACACAUAUCUUGUUCUUGUGCUACAAAUUUGAUAGUAACAACCAAUAAAAGAAAAGAAAAAAUUCUUUUAUUUUGAAAAUUCUAAUACAUAGGUAAUAAUUCAUAAGCUAAUUUGGAGCUGAAUAGAUAUAUAUAUUUUUUUUUAAAAAAAAACUUUAGUAGGGUAGGAUUAAUGAUUUUUUUUCAUCUUCGGCGGAGGUGGGAGUGGGGCGCGGGGUGUGAGAGGGAGAGGGAGUUGUUCCAUCCUUAUACUCUAAAUAAAAAAAUCUCUUACAGUAUAUAAGAAUAAGUGUAUAAUUUACCUAUUCUUGCUGCUAAUGUGUUUAAGACAAUGAACAUGCCCAUUGACUAUAUGUCCAAUUCAUUUACCUACACAAAUUAAAAAAAGUAAGAUUAAUUACCAUGCUAAAUUUGUCUCUUUUUGAGGAUAGGAAGAUUUAUUCCCAAUUAGUCCAUUUACCUGCACAAAUUAAAAAAAGUAAGAUUAUUUAUCAUAUUGAAUUUAUUUCUUCUUGAGAAUAGAAAGAUUUAUUCCCAUAUAAAAUAUCAUAACAAACUUUUGAAAAAUGUAUUUGCUCAUUUUAAAUAUAAAUAUGCAUAAGAAAAUCAAAAAUAUGCUUGGUCUCCGCCAUUGUGGUGAUCGCCUUCACGGCUGUCGCCCAUGGCUCCGUCGCCAUGCUCUUUGUCCUCUUCUACGAAAACUUAUAGAUAAACAAAGCUCACAUAUACCUCGAGGCUCGAGUUCGUCGACUUCUAUGAGAGUAAGUAUCGAUUUCUCCAGCGUAACAGCGUCGAAGAGAGAAUCAUAGGAGCCACACUCCAUAGCCGUUGGUGGAACUACAUAGACGGGAAGAGGUGAGGGUGCGGAGGUGGAGGAGGUGAGGGGAGGAAAAAGAGAAAGAGAGAGAAUGGGAAAGAGAAAGAGAGAGGGGUAAAAAACCGUUAUAAGAAGAUGGAGAGAUGUGAAAGAAGGCUUAAUGAAGAGAUGGGAAGAUGGAGGGAUACAAAACGGUUCAAUAAAGUAUUGGGGAUUAAUAUUUGUAACGUUAUGAGAAGAUGAAGGGAUGUGAAAGAAUGUUUAAGAGAGAGAUGGGAAGAUGAAGGGACACAAAACGAUUCAAUAAAAAAUACAAAAAAUACUCCAAAAAAAGAAGGUUGUGCCACCUCAGCAAAAAGUAUUGGGGAUUAAUAGAUGUUUAUAGAUAUUUUCAAUUUAUUCAUCAAUUCUCUAUUUCUCAUCUUUUACUAUACACCAUCGCUUCUUUCCCUCACUCCCUCUUUCCCUCUCACGAAUGCACGCCCACUUUCUUCUUUUGCCGUGGUCGGAGGGAUCAUCGUCGCCGUCACUAUCACUAUCGCCGGAGAAGGCAUCGUCGGGCCUAUAUCCUGCACACACCUCACCCACCAUGCCAACAACAACAAGAACAACACAACAGAACACUAUCAUGUAAGAAUAGACAUACUCACAAAGCCCACGGCCACUCCCUUCACAACGCAUACACACACUACUCCAAAAUCUUUUUACAUAUUAAUUAACUCCCCAAAAAGUUACCGGUUUCUAGCCCCUGCAUUAAGGCAGUCCUUUCACUAAUAGUAUACUAUGUUAUCUACAUAAAGAGAGUUCUAUAUGCCAUCAUGACUUUAUGGAGGUAUACGUGUCCUCCUACUACCCUUCCACAUUCAACUGGAAAAAAUAGCGAUGCACUCUAUCUUUAAUAUAGAGUAUGCCAACUAUUUUAUUUUCUCAUGUUUGAAAUCAAGUAUAAUUAACAAAUAUAAUCUAACUAUAUAAAAUAAAAUUAGUCUAUAUAGCAAAAUAUUAUAAGUUAUAAAUUUUAAAAAUAGUGAUUUACACAAUAAAGCGUUUAAGACAUAAUAUAUCACCAGGAGACAAUUGAAUAAUUCUCUCCCAUCCAUUCUUUCAUCUAUAUAAACCAAAAUGCUACCAAUAUUUAUAAAUAUUAACAUAACACAACCCUAAAUAUUAAUUAUAAUUAUAUUCAAACAUUUAAAAUAUAAUUUCAUAUUGCGCGAUAAUAUUGGUAAGGACUGAGAUUUUUGCAGUGUAGCUAAACUCUCGAGUUGACGUGUUUUUGUGUGUAAUUUAUUACAAAACACUGGUCAAAGUUCGGGGCGAAAUCGCAGUUAAAACGGAAAUUCUACGGAUUCCAAGUUCACUAAACGUGAAAAGUAACUACGUAUUUCCGGAGAAGCCGGUCGUUGAGAAGUUGGCUUCUGCUCGUAUUGGAACUCCUGUUCAUAUUGCGCCUCCAAUAGCUGUUUCGCCGGUUCAGCUGUUCUGGAACUAAUGACGCUGACGGAUUUUGAGUUUGACGCACGGAUUUCGAGAAAAUCCAAAAAUACAUGUUUUAUAUGUAUUUACGUGUGUGUUUCCUUCUAUUCGAAGAGGGUUGGAUUUUGUCGUGAAUCCGUGGCCGAUCUAGACGAAACGAAGUUGUAGCUUUGUUGUCUCCGAGGUGCUGAUCGCACUGGUGUAAUCCGUUCGCAAAUCUGACGGACGGAUCUGCAGAGAUCGCGCGUUGAUCGAGGAGAGGUCGGUAGCGGCAAAACGGUAUUUUCGCAAAAGUCGCGAUAUUUUAUGUACCGUUUGGCGUAGGAUCGCACGUGGAGGGGCGUUCAUGCGUUUUAGUCGUUCGGUGAGGGACUCGGAUUGAAAUUCCGGUGUUUGGGGGACCUUUUUGCAUGUUGCACCUUGUAUAUAUAGUCUCUUUAGGGUUUGGAGCCACUCAACCCUAACCCUAGCUACCCCAGUCGCCCCAGCCACCUUCAUCUCCUUCCCCUGCACCUGCUGCGCGUGCCCAGCCCGCCGCCGACCGAGCCCCGGCCGGCCAACCACCGCGGCAGCCACCACCUUCCUCCCUCUCCCUCUCUUUCUCUCUCCCUCUCUCCUCUCGGGUUGUGAGGAGACCCGAGACUGCGCCUCCUGCAGACCCUCCCCCGGGGUCACCCCGUGCUCCGGCGACCUUCCCCGCCGAUCGCCGCCGUUGCCUGCGCCGCCGCUGCCACCCCGGGCCGCCUGCAGCAGCCCAGGCCGAGCUCAAGCCGAGCUGGGUUGCAGCCGCUGCCCGCGCGCCGCCACCGCCCGAGAUCGCUCCCGCCGACGUCCCCCGUGCCCGGGCGCUCCCUCCCGCCGGUCGCCGCCGCCCCGACGCGCCGCCGUCGCCGCCUCGGCCGGCCGUGGCCGCCCCAGACCCGCUCGGUCCGAGGCAAGCCCGCGGUCUCUUCCUCGCGUCGCCGCCACCCUCGGCCGCCCCUGUGGCACCUCCCGGACCUCAGACAGUCGGCCGCCUGUGCCCCGAGCCGCCCUGAGCGCCGCUACCGCCGCGCGAGCCGCCUGCAGCCCUCCAACCCGAGCCCGAGCCGAAGCCGUGUGCGGCCUCUUCCUCGCGCCGCCGCCGCCCUGAGCCACCUGUGCCGCCCUUCCCCGACCUCCUGCAGCCCGCCUCCGCCGUCCCGGAGCUCCCCGGCCGCCGCCGUGGCCGCAGCAACUCCUGGAACCCGAGCUCUAGUUGGUAUGGGCUCGGCUUGCUCCGCCGCCGCCGCCGCCGCUCCUCGCCGCCGUCUGAGGUGAGCACGGAGUUCCUCACCUCCCCCUCACCCGACUCAGGGCCCCGCGCGCGCCGCCGUGCCGCCGGAGGCCGGCCGGAGCAGGGUUGCUCCGGCCAAGCCCGAAAUAGGGCCUAUUUGAGUGGGUUUCUUGUUCUGGGCUUCCCGAGCUUCCCCGAUCUCUACGGAAGGGAGCACGAUGAUCCUGGCAAGUUGCUGAUCAUCGUGCUCACCUUAGUUUCUGUCGGGGAGACUCCGUUCCGCUGUUUUGGCGAUGUCGCUCCGUUUCAGCCUUUUUGGCUGCUGUUUUGGGCUUGCGCACGCUUAUCCGGCGAUCCGAGGCUGUCCUUGUCACGCCCCGGGGUCCCUUUUCAGUUUAAAACAAAGCGGAAAAGCGUCUGAAUUUUUUUUUUUGAAAACCUGACCCCAGGGUAUGCCAGAUCCGCCACAAAUACAGGGAAUCCACUAUUCACACGGACAGAGUCUCCCCUGUAUUUGCACGGCGUCGAUCAAAUACACAAAACAACCAGGAUACAACCACAACCAGAUGAAUAUAAGGAUAACUAUACAUUCAUACAAUCACCAUUCACAUCACAGUUUUACAUUCAAGGUUUAAUCAGAAAUCCACAAAAAUCUUUUGAAAGCUGUUUCCUACACAGAAACCUUUAUUCUUUUAAAAGCGCUACCACGAGGGGUAGAAACCUUUUAUUUUACAAAAUCCAGAAAUCCACAUUUUCAAAUGUAAAUAAACACUGAACCACAUAAACCAACUAAACUAUUCAUCAGCCAAAAUAAGAAGGGUAAGAAAGUAAACCAAAUUAACACUACUACAGGUACAAGAUUUAGUGGCGACAAAUGUCGCCACCAUAGCCCAAAUUGUCGCCACGAAAAACGUUUUGGCGGCGACAAUUUGUCGCCACAUGCCGCCGCCUAAAACCCCGUCGGUAAAACUAUUUGGUGGCGACAAUGUGUCGCCGCCAAAAGUUAGAUAAUUAGCGGCGACAAACAGUCGCCACCAAAAGUUAGAUAAUUAGCGGCGACAAACGAUCGCCGCCAAAAGUAGAUAAUUAGCAACUGGGGCCGGACCAGAAUAUUUGGUGGCGACAAAUUGUCGCCGCGACAAGUUAGAUAAUUAGCGGCGACAUAUUGUCGCCGCGAAAACUUUACAUAAUUAUUAUGACUAAUGGCGGCGACUAUUGUCGCCACUAUUUUUCUGAUAUAAAAUUAAUUUUUUUUUAAA